UACGAAGGGGGCUAGCGUUGCUCGGAAUCACUGGGCGUAAAGCGCACGUAGGCGGCUUUCUAAGUCAGGGGUGAAAUCCUGGAGCUCAACUCCAGAACUGCCUUUGAUACUGAGGAUCUUGAGUUCGGGAGAGGUGAGUGGAACUGCGAGUGUAGAGGUGAAAUUGUAGAUAUUCGCAAGAACACCAGUGGCGAAGGCGGCUCACUGGCCCGAU
rnacentral:rRNA from 1 species